GCUCCAUUGGCUUAGUGGAUAAGGCGUCUGACUUCGAAUCAGAAGAUCCCCGGGAUGGGGCU
rnacentral:tRNA from 1 species